CAGGCCUCCACCGGGGUGCCCUUCCUGGAGCUGCAGGGGGUGCUGGAGCUCAACCCCUGGAGGUUGGUGGAGGUCUACCAAGACGAGGAGCUGGUGCACAUGUGGCUGGCGGUCAAGAUCCGUCCCGCUGCUCCGCUCCGUCUCCAAGCCACUCCUCGCCUGCCUGAGCACCAAGAACUUCAGCUGCACCACCUACCAGGCUGUCGUCCAAGAGUUCAGCCAGCACUUCUCUGACAUGAACCCAGCCAGACAGAAGUGGAUCUAUACGUUCUUCAUGUACCCCUUCCUGUCCGGAGAAGGAAUAGCCGGCUGCACGAGGCCAGAGGAGAGCAGUGAGGACUGCUGAUGAAGAACUUUGGCGCCUCAGGGCCAUGGCGCGAAUCAUGGACUUCUCCCAGCUCAACAUGGUGUUCAACGGCUUGGAGGUUCUCCAUCUUCUGAGCCCCGAACAGAAGGCGGAGCUUCUGUUGAGGCCGGAGGUGGCGGGCCUGGACACGGCACCCUGAGCCUGGUCUUCAACAGCCUGAUGGAGGGAGGCCACGGUCACUACUGGGCCUCAGCCGGGACCCAACACGACCUCAGGCCCUUGGGCUGGCCGGGCAACUGGACAGCCCUGGGACUGGCCAUCCCGCGGGACAUAUCGUGACCUCAGGCCCUGGUCAGCCCGGGACCCCCAGGCUAUGGACAUGACCACAAUUAUACCAUGUCGGGAUACCAGACAGUGAUGAUUAUGGAAAUGGAUAUUCGCAUAAUCACGAAUAUGAUUAUUCUGUCUCAUCCCCACCUACCCUUGGCGAGUUUGUUUACGGUCUCACGAAGGCCAUCAAACCGUUGAGCCACUUGGUGUCAGACUUUGUUUCGCUCACACACACGCAGGAUGUGUCGGAGAUAAGGAGCACCACUCUGAUCCAGCUGCUGCUGAACUGGACCCUGGCCGAGGUGGUGAGCUCCUACAAUCCACAGGUUGGAUAUGAGCCUGCGCCGGGGGAGGUCUUCAACCUGACCGUGGAGGAGUGGUACAGCCGAGUGGUGCUGCCCAUUCUGCACAUUCCUGCAGCCAGGCGAGGACUCGAUCAGCGAGGAGAUCCAGCUGGCCUUCCAUAA